AUGCAGCAACUCUGGAUGGCGUUCCAGGGGUGGACGGGUGCUCCCUCCCCUACGUCGGCAAGCAGCUUUGAGUGCUCCGAGGCAUGGUGGCUAGAGGCGAGAAAAGCAAUCCCAAAUCAUGUGCGUCGAGACUUUGAGACCAUUGUCAUACUCAUACAUUGGAGGAUCUGUAAGGAGCGGAAUGCUCGAAUCUUCCAGCAGACGGCUUGUAAUGUUGACAUGGUACUAGACCUCGCUAGGGGGGACUUAGGUGUUUGGAGAUCUGCGGGGUGUGUUGCAGACUUGGUAGCUGAUUUCCUCCGUAGUUGUCUUCGUCAGCCCCGCGGUGCUUGGGGCUAA
rnacentral:rRNA from 1 species